GUCCUGGGGACAAACCAGUGCCUCAUGUUUCUGGAAACGCUGCAGCAUUUAACUUCAAUUUUAAUCUGGAUAACGCCAAAGCUUUUCCUCAAAUUCACCCCUGGAGUCAGCUCAUAGAUGCUCUGAUUUUGUCUACCAUUGCUCCUCCUUAAUAUCUCUCGCACAGGUGCCAUUGACCUUUAGAUGGGCUGUACGGUGUGGGGUUCGGUGCCAUGGAUCUGCUUCUCCAGGGACCAGGAUCUUGAGAUCUUCAGGCUGGGUUUCCAUGGAGGCAUGGAGCUGCUUUUCCUCCUUCAUAACUGCACUCAAAACAGCCCUGUUGCUCUAGAAUGGAGACUUGGGCAACUCCUUCUGGCACAGAUUUGUUCACCUCAGGUGAAAUUCAGAUAGAAGCAAGCUGCAGGCAGUUUCACCUCUAAGUCCAUGGGUUCUCAACUGGUAACGUCCUCUUAUGGAUGUUAGCCCAUGAGGUCAAUCCUGUAGCAAUCUAAGGCUUGAGAAAAAUUAAUCUUCUGGAAAAUUCCAAGAAUACAUCUUAGGGAAACUGGCUCUACCUUUAUGACUUGGAUCACACAAGGAUAUGCUUUUCAUCUUGGACUAGAACUGAGAGCCAAUGGAUGUGUUAUCUAAAACUAUCCCAGUGUGUUCACUAUACAGAGGAAGAUUCUGAGAUUCAAGACUCAAGACUGAAGAAGAUCAUUAUUUUUAUUAUUUUAGUCUUAUGCACAAAAUGAUAUCUACUGAAUAAGCAGGUUUUUAAUAGGUGACUUAUAUAUGUUAGCAAAAAUAAACACUUUGUCUUUUAGAUCUAUUCUAGUUUUUCAGUAGCUGUAGACUUAAGUGCUAACUUUUAGCCCAUAGGAUAAGAAGAAACCAAGUCCUAAAAGUAGGCCAGCACCAGGGUUCAGGCCUCUGACUUCAAGCCAAGGGCUCAUCAUCUUGAAUUGCGCACGAAUUUUUACACAGCGCCAAAGGAAACUGCCUGUACUUACUGUUGUAGGUGCUUUGCUGGAUUCAGGAUGCAGACAAGGUCCACGCAUUGUGGUUGGAACAAUGACUAGAUCUUUACCUGGUCCACAGCCCUCCCCAGUCUGGCUGCAACCUCUCAUGAGGCUGAGCUCACCAUGAACCCCUGCUCUAGGCGUCUGCAUAGUGUUCUGUUUGUCCCCGUGACUGUCCACCUCUUCUUUGGCCUGUUGGCAUGCGCUUAUCCUCCAGACCUCAGUCCAAAGUUCAGUCCCGGAGCAGACACAACCCUGUUUGCAGAGAGCCAACAUUCUAAUUGACAGUGCGUGGUGGGAAACAGUGAACCGAGGGAAAGAGUGCCAGUGUUAGAGAGCCACAGUGCAGUGAAGAAGAGAAGGCAAGAGGAUGUGAUGCAAAAUCACAGGACCUGGCUUCCAGACCAUUCUGCUUCCAUGAGAACAUUUCAGUUGAGAACCGGAUGGCAUGAAAACAGGAUUCCACUUGCAAGCCGUGUGAUAUGGGGCAGCUCACCAGAUCCUGGACCUCCAUAAACCCCUCUGCAACGUGGAGAGAAUCAGAUUUCCCCACAGACUCCAUGAAGGGCUCCAGAGUGCCCUCCCCCGUUAGCCACUGAUGCAUUCAUGAGGAAGAGAAAGAGUUAAAUGCUCCUUUCGAGGAAGCGGUGGUGGCCGAGUGCUGUGGGCACUGUGAGAUCAGAGCUGACAGCCCAGACUGAAUCGCAACCCUCACUAGGGCCAUCGCGUUUUGCAGGGAGCUCUUCCCAAGUGCCCACUUUUACUAAAUUACAGAAAAUACCUAACAGGAUAGUUUCUUCGUGUUUUAAAAAUCAAUGAUCAAUUUUUGUUUUGUUUUGUUUUUAAAAUACAGUGUUUUCAGAGAUAAGAGUAUUACAUUGGAAACCUGUUGUGACACAGAAAAUUAGAUGAGCCUGUGGUUGAUUAAAACAGUCAAGUUGACCUACGUGUCAUCUCAGUGCACAGUAAGGAAGCGUCUUCAGCUUAGAAAAUUGCUGGGAUGAACACAAACAAAUCUAGUUCUUUGGAAUGAGAAUUUUCAGAUUUUGGAUUUAUGGUCAGAAAUGGCUGAGUCCCAGGGCCAGGAGCGGUGGCUCAUGCCUGUAAUCCCAGCACUUUGGGAGGCCAAGGCAGAUGGAUCGCCUGAGAUCAGGAGUUCGAGACCAGCCUGGCCAACAAAGUGAAACCCUGUCUGUACUAAAAAUACAAACUUUAGCUGAGCGAGGUGGCGAACACCUGUAAUCUCAGCUACUUGGGAGGCUGAGGCAGGAGAAUCAACUGAACCCAGGAGAUGGAGGUUGCAGUGAGCUGAGAUCAUACCAUUGUACUCCAGCCUGGGCAACAAGAGUGAAACUCCGUCUCAAAAAAAAGAAAAGAAAAAAGAAAGAAACUGCUGAGUCCUGAAAUACUGAUAAAAUGACCAGCCCUGUUCACGUUCAAAACCUGACACUUUUAGUGUCAGGGUGACCAGGAAUUGUGGCUGUAAAGGAAGCCUGAGACUUCUCUGGUUCUGGCAUGAAAGAAUUUUCCAAAACUAUGUAGACGCUGGGGCCUUACAAGUUUGAUAUUAGUGUAAACAAAUGUAUUCUCAACAAGAAUAUAGAUGAGUUUGCAAUGAAUUUCAGAAUACUUAACUCCAGGCUUAUAAGAGAUUAAAUAAUUCUUUAAAAUGGAUUCUCAAGCACUUUAUUUAUGCUACUCAUGGGAGCUACACUGGCAAGGGAGGUCACAGUUUCUGACGUGCCUUUUUUCUAAACUUCUGACUUUGUUUGUACACAUGCAGAACAUGAUUUAACUAUUGGGAUCCCAAUCCUCUAUAUUGGGGGAUUUUUCUUUAUAUUUUUUACCUUUUGAUAAAGUAGAUCUUUAGAAAUCAGAAUUCCUGAGUUUCCAGCACUGUCAAAUUUAGAUUCUUGGGAAUGCUGAGGUCUAACCUUGACUCUUUCAAAUGAAUGCUGGUGAACUUGUCUAAACUCCUGUUCCUGCAUUCAGUUUCUCCCUCUGUGAAGCGGAGGCAAUGUCACUCCCUCCUUUUAAAAUCCUUAAGGUUUGGGAAAGGUUUUCAGAGUAGUCAAAUAAUUUAAUACCCUUAGGUAAAAUGUGCUUUCAAAUUGUAUUUCUACCCAUGGAAAUGAAGAUUAGUCUCUUCAUUUUUUUUCUUAGAAUGGCCACUGGGAGAUUCUGCUAAAAUAAAAGAUUUUUUUUUUAAUAGUGCUGUUCAGGGGUGUUCGGAUUCGAUUGCCUUUCUUCUAACUCAAGGGUGAGUUUCAGAGACCCUGGUUCACACAGGACGGGGCAACUUCCGUCGUGUCCUUCUCAGAUGAGGCAUCUCACACUCGUCUUGUCUUGUGAAUAACUGCACAACUGGUCAUGAGGAAUGCUACAGUGUGGCCUGUCACGGGAGCCCACCUCGCACACAUUUAAGGCCAAUACACGUCUGGAGCUUUGACAGGGCUGUGUUUAUGUCUGCCUUUCACGAAAAUUGGUAUUCCUCUCAUCUUUUAUUUCAGCAGUUACAGUUAAACUACACCUUGAUGAACUACGCGUGUCUAUUCUCCCCAGUUCCCGGCCCACCUCCCUCAGCAACCCUCCCACAAACUGAAAUGGAAGCCGGGCUGUGAAACAUGAAACAGGCUGUUAUAAAACUGUAUUUUAUAGUUGCAGCAUGUUACAGUUGAAGGUGUGUUUACGUAGCUGAGGAGACAGAAACACCAGUCUUCCCACUCCAGAGUUUACCUAACUUCCUUCAGGACUAAGGGUAGAGCUGUAGAUCACAAUGUACCCCUUGGGGAGCUAAAGAGGAAGAGAAAGAGUUAAACACUCCUUUAGAUGAAGUCCACAUGCUAAGAAACAAAAUGAAUGGCACAAACAAACACUUCUGGG
rnacentral:lncRNA from 10 species